rnacentral:rRNA from 1 species
UAAGGAAUAUUCCACAAUGGACGAAAGUCUGAUGGAGCGACGCCGCGUGAGCGAAGAAGCCCUUCGGGGUGUAAAGCUCUUUUCAGGGGGAUGACAAAGACAGUACCCCUGGAAUAAGCCUCGGCUAACUACGUGCCAGCAGCCGCGGUAAUACGUAGGAGGCAAGCGUUGUCCGGAUUUACUGGGCGUAAAGAGCGUGUAGGCGGUUGAGCAAGUCUGCUGUAAAAUCUCCAGGCUCAACUUGGAGGGGUCAGUGGAAACUGCUUAACUUGAGGACGGUAGAGGGGGGUGGAAUUCCCGGUGUAGUGGUGAAAUGCGUAGAGAUCGGGAGGAACACCAGCGGCGAAGGCGGCCCCCUGGGCCGCUCCUGACGCUGAGACGCGAAGGCCAGGGUAGCGAACGG